rnacentral:tRNA from 1 species
GCGCCAUUGGUCUAGGGGCAUGACACGGGCUUCCCAAGCCUGUAACGCGGGUUCGAUUGCGCUGCUGGAGCAGACACAUCCAGCAGGGCUGAACAUCCCGCAUGGCGCA